CAUGCCGCGGGAAUACGAAGGGUGCAAGCGUUAAUCGGAAUUACUGGGCGUAAAGCGUGCGCAGGCGGUUAUAUAAGACAGAUGUGAAAUCCCCGGGCUCAACCUGGGAACUGCAUUUGUGACUGUAUAGCUAGAGUACGGCAGAGGGGGAUGGAAUUCCGCGUGUAGCAGUGAAAUGCGUAGAUAUGCGGAGGAACACCGAUGGCGAAGGCAAUCCCCUGGGCCUGUACUGACGCUCAUGCACGAAAGCGUGGGGAGCAAACAGGAUUAGAUACCCCCGUAGUCCCUGUCUCUUAUACAC
rnacentral:rRNA from 1 species